rnacentral:lncRNA from 1 species
AUGUUUUGUUCAGUUUUCUUUGCUUUUCCAAAGCAAGAGGUUUCAAUUCACUAUGUAUCACUGUAUGGAUUAAUCACUUGGCAAAAGUUGUUGGUGUAUGCUGUGGGAAACUUAGAGCAUACCCAGAAUCCUCACUCAUUUUUGCAGCCAGUGUUCUACAGGUUUGGGACCUUUUUUUUUUCCCCACAGUUGUGUAUUCGCCACUGCAGGGAAUAUGUCAGGGUAUAUGUCUGCACUCUGAUGGAGGAUUUUUGUAGUGGUACUGCAGGAUCUUGAGGAACUUCACCGACUGAAUUCUGUAAAGAGUACAUCUCAGGAGCUAUUGGUCAGGAAACUCAAGCUUUGGGAACUCAAAUACUGGGUAUUUUCACCAGACAUGACUUAAGCACAGAGUGGGAAACAGAAACAG